AGAGAUUGAACUGAAGAGUUUGAUCCUGGCUCAGAUUGAACGCUGGCGGGAUGCUUUACACAUGCAAGUCGGACGGCAGCACGGGCUUCGGCCUGGUGGCGAGUGGCGAACGGGUGAGUAAUGUAUCGGAACGUGCCCAGUAGCGGGGGAUAACUACGCGAAAGCGUGGCUAAUACCGCAUACGCCCUACGGGGGAAAGCGGGGGACCUUCGGGCCUCGCACUAUUGGAGCGGCCGAUAUCGGAUUAGCUAGUUGGUGGGGUAACGGCCUACCAAGGCGACGAUCCGUAGCUGGUUUGAGAGGACGACCAGCCACACUGGGACUGAGACACGGCCCAGACUCCUACGGGAGGCAGCAGUGGGGAAUUUUGGACAAUGGGGGCAACCCUGAUCCAGCCAUCCCGCGUGUGCGAUGAAGGCCUUCGGGUUGUAAAGCACUUUUGGCAGGAAAGAAACGGCACGGGCUAAUAUCCUGUGCAACUGACGGUACCUGCAGAAUAAGCACCGGCUAACUACGUGCCAGCAGCCGCGGUAAUACGUAGGGUGCAAGCGUUAAUCGGAAUUACUGGGCGUAAAGCGUGCGCAGGCGGUUCGGAAAGAAAGAUGUGAAAUCCCAGGGCUUAACCUUGGAACUGCAUUUUUAACUACCGGGCUAGAGUGUGUCAGAGGGAGGUGGAAUUCCGCGUGUAGCAGUGAAAUGCGUAGAUAUGCGGAGGAACACCGAUGGCGAAGGCAGCCUCCUGGGAUAACACUGACGCUCAUGCACGAAAGUGUGGGGAGCAAACAGGAUUAGAUACCCUGGUAGUCCACGCCCUAAACGAUGUCAACUAGCUGUUGGGGCCUUCGGGCCUUGGUAGCGCAGCUAACGCGUGAAGUUGACCGCCUGGGGAGUACGGUCGCAAGAUUAAAACUCAAAGGAAUUGACGGGGACCCGCACAAGCGGUGGAUGAUGUGGAUUAAUUCGAUGCAACGCGAAAAACCUUACCUACCCUUGACAUGUCUGGAAUCCCGAAGAGAUUUGGGAGUGCUCGCAAGAGAACCGGAACACAGGUGCUGCAUGGCUGUCGUCAGCUCGUGUCGUGAGAUGUUGGGUUAAGUCCCGCAACGAGCGCAACCCUUGUCAUUAGUUGCUACGAAAGGGCACUCUAAUGAGACUGCCGGUGACAAACCGGAGGAAGGUGGGGAUGACGUCAAGUCCUCAUGGCCCUUAUGGGUAGGGCUUCACACGUCAUACAAUGGUCGGGACAGAGGGUUGCCAACCCGCGAGGGGAGCCAAUCCCAGAAACCCGGUCGUAGUCCGGAUCGCAGUCUGCAACUCGACUGCGUGAAGUCGGAAUCGCUAGUAAUCGCGGAUCAGCAUGUCGCGGUGAAUACGUUCCCGGGUCUUGUACACACCGCCCGUCACACCAUGGGAGUGGGUUUUACCAGAAGUAGUUAGCCUAACCGCAAGGGGGCGAUUACCACGGUAGGAUUCAUGACUGGGGUGAAGUCGUAACAAGGUAGCCGUAUCGGAAGGUGCGGCUGGAUCACCUCCUUUAAGA
rnacentral:rRNA from 1 species